AGUGAACGCUGGCGGUAGGCCUAACACAUGCAAGUCGAACGGCAGCACAGUAAGAGCUUGCUCCUACGGGUGGCGAGUGGCGGACGGGUGAGGAAUACAUCGGAAUCUACUUUUUCGUGGGGGAUAACGUAGGGAAACUUACGCUAAUACCGCAUACGACCUACGGGUGAAAGCAGGGGAUCUUCGGACCUUGCGCGAUUGAAUGAGCCGAUGUCGGAUUAGCUAGUUGGCGGGGUAAAGGCCCACCAAGGCGACGAUCCGUAGCUGGUCUGAGAGGAUGAUCAGCCACACUGGAACUGAGACACGGUCCAGACUCCUACGGGAGGCAGCAGUGGGGAAUAUUGGACAAUGGGCGAAAGCCUGAUCCAGCCAUACCGCGUGGGUGAAGAAGGCCUUCGGGUUGUAAAGCCCUUUUGUUGGGAAAGAAAAGCAGCAGGUUAAUACCCCGCUGUUCUGACGGUACCCAAAGAAUAAGCACCGGCUAACUUCGUG
rnacentral:rRNA from 1 species